GGCCCAGACUCCUACGGGAGGCAGCAGUGAGGAAUAUUGGUCAAUGGGCGGGAGCCUGAACCAGCCAAGUCGCGUGAGGGAUGACGGCCCUAUGGGUUGUAAACCUCUUUUGCCGGGGAGCAAAGUGCCGCACGUGUGCGGUUUGGAGAGUACCCGGAGAAAAAGCAUCGGCUAACUCCGUGCCAGCAGCCGCGGUAAUACGUAGGGGGCAAGCGUUAUCCGGAUUUACUGGGUGUAAAGGGAGCGUAGACGGCAGCGCAAGUCUGGAGUGAAAUGCCGGGGCCCAACCCCGGAACUGCUCUGGAAACUGUGAAGCUGGAGUGCAGGAGAGGUAAGCGGAAUUCCUGGUGUAGCGGUGAAAUGCGUAGAUAUCAGGAGGAACACCGGCGGCGAAGGCGGCUUACUGGACUGUAACUGACACUGAGGCACGAAAGCGUGGGGAGCAAACAGGAUUAGAUACCCCCGUAUA
rnacentral:rRNA from 1 species